GAUGAACGCUGGCGGCGUGCCUAAUACAUGCAAGUCGAGCGAACGGACGAGAAUCUUUCUUCUCUUCUGUUAGCGGCGGACGGGUGAGUAACACGUGGAUACCCUACCUUUAAGACUGGGAUAACUUCGGGAACCCUGAGCUAACACCGGAUAAUAUUUUGAACCGCAUGGUUCUACAGUCCAAGCCGGUCUUGCUGUCACUUAUUGAUGUAUCCUGGCUGCAUUAGCUAGUUGGUACGGUAACGGCUUACCAAGGCAACGAUGCAUAGCCGACCUGGGAGAGGGAUAGGCCAAAUUGAAACUGAGACACGGCCCAGAUCCUUAGGGGAGGAAGAAGGAGGGAAAUUGCCGAAAGGGGGGAAAGCCUAACGGGGCAACGCCGGGUGAGGGAGGAAGGUCUUCGGAUCGUAAAAAUCUGUUAUUGGGGAAAAAGACAUGUGUAAGUAACUGUGCACAUUUGGAGGGUACAUAAGCAGAAAGCCAGGGCAAAUUAGGG
rnacentral:rRNA from 1 species